rnacentral:rRNA from 1 species
UGACGAUGCGACGCCGCGUGGACGACGAAGGCCUUCGGGUCGUAAAGUCCUGUCAGGAGUUAGGAAAUGCGCGAUGCUACCCAAGGUGCGCGUUUGACUUCAGCUCCAGAGGAAGCCACGGCUAACUUCGUGCCAGCAGCCGCGGUAAUACGAAGGUGGCGAGCGUUGUUCGGAAUCACUGGGCAUAAAGGGCGUGUAGGCGGCCACGUGUGUCGGGUGUGAAAUCCCUCGACUCAAUCGAGGAACUGCAUUCGAAACUGCGUGGCUUGAGUUCAGAAGGGGAGAGCGGAAUUCCUGGUGGAGCGGUGAAAUGCGUAGAGAUCAGGAGGAACACCGGUGGCGAAGGCGGCUCUCUAGUCUGCAACUGACGCUGAGUGCGCGAAAGCCAGGGGAGCGAACGGGAUUAGAUACCCCGGUAGUCCUGGCUGUAAACGAUGGGCACUAAGUAGAGGG